CAUAAUAUCAACCAGUGCUCCUGCUACAGACACUGCCAGCCAUAUCAUAGCACAAAAUAAAAACAUUUCCGUGUUUUUUAUAUGAUUAAAACGGAGAAAUAGAUCUCAAACGCAUUUUUAAUACCUAUUUUCCGAUAAGUUUUAUUGUCAGCGACCAAAAUGUCCAUUUUAUUGCAUUCUGGGAAAACGCAGUGGGCGUCCGCUUUGAAAUUAUCCUGUGUUGCAUUGGUGAUAUUUUUGGCCUGUCCAGUGAAUUCCAUGGAUGUGCUGGUGCCACAACAGAUCAACGCUCUCAAUGGCACUAAUGUCAGAAUCCCAUGUGCAUUCACCUCAUGCUACAAGCUGGACCCCAGCAAGUUUGCCAUGAACUGGACCUAUCAGGAGACACUCAACAGCACAGAGGAGAUGUUCAUGACUUAUAAGAACAGGAUAACACCCCUGAAGUCAACCCGAUUUGGAGAUCGGGUCAUGUUUUCUGGAAACCUGGAGAAGAACGACCUCAGCAUCACUAUCUCAGAUGUGCAGUUGACAGACGAUGGAAUCUACAAUUGCUAUGUGCGCAACCCUCCAGAUCGCAUUCCGGGUCACGGCACCAUCCAGUUCAACGUCCUGACUGAAUUGCCACCACCAAGGGAUUCGACCAUUGCUGUCGCCAUCGGGGCAUCUGUGGGGGGCAUUCUUGCUUUGCUCAUUCUGUCCAUGGUAGUGGUGAAGUGUAUUCGUAGACAUAAGAACCAGGAGCUGAUCUCAGACGAGCAGAAGAUGGAGGAAGAGGGCAAAGUCGAUGGAGAAGGGGGAACAGAAGAAGCAACAAAACAGCCCUAACCCGCCAUCUUAGCCCUGGAGGCCUAACGGAUGGUGGAGCUCAAUCCUUCAUGUUCUGAAAUUUAUGCCUCCUGCCUGAAGAUAUGUAAAACUUGUUUGACUCUUCGUCCUGUAAUGGUCUCAUUCAACAUUCCCCAGUUUUCUCGUGUAGCGACCAAACAUGUCAUGUUAGGAAGAUCUCUGCCACAGUGUCAUGAUGUCCAGUCACUGGUGAGAAAUCACAAAGGGUUUUAUACUGCCUCUUCCACUCAUUAUGGCAGGUUAAGGUGAUAACAGCAUCCUACAGAACUUUUUAUUUUGUCCACCCUUUUUUCAAAGUCAGUAAUGUCUUUUUUUCUUCAACUACUGCCACUAUUAGCACUAUUAAUAUUAGCCAUCCAGUAUUUCUGCUAAGAAUUUUCUAAAAAUGAGAGUUUUAAAUGAUACAAAACUGCCAAAGUGUUUUUACCCUUACAGUGUUUAUACGUUUUGACAGUUUCUUGAGAAAUCACUGCCCUCAACGUCCUCUUUAAGUGGAUGCAGAAACAUGAUGUGUGUGUUUGUGUGUGUGCCUUCUCGUUGUGCCAGUUUGCUCCAAUUGGGUCUAAGGUUUGUGCUGUUUUUACAAUCCAGUAUGUAGAACAGCAGAAUAUUUAGCAGUGAUACCUUGAACCUACCCAAAUGGCAGGACCAUGACUAUCCAUUAGUGUUAAAAAUCUAUAAUUUGCUAGUUUAUAGCACACCUCCAAAACAUGUACAAUCAUUGCAUGACAAUUUUCUUAUACAUGAUACACACAAAUUGCACAAAACAACUCAUCACUUUGCACAAGCAUCUGGCACAUUCCAUGAAUAGGGUAUACUUUGGUGUCUCUAACUUUUUAAAAGCAUUUAGGCCCUGACACAAAAAGCCGAUGGUCGGCCAUCGGCCAACGUCGGGCGGCCCAGUUCCACACCAUCUGCAGUAGUUGGACUUUGACGGCCGAUUGAGCAUAUUGAAUCAGCGUCUGUCGGCGUCUGUGCCAUUGGUGAGAGAGAGAACUCUGAUUGGCUGUUCAGCUUAGUGAAUGAGAAUAAAAACAAAAGACGGCUGUUCUAAUUUAAUGCCAUCUUACCUGAGCAUUCCAAUGCACAAAUAUUUUCAUAACAACAUGAGCCACCUGGAACGUUUCGCUUUCCCUUUUUGGAUGAAGAAUAUAGACUAUUGAUACCUGUUGAUAUAGACAGUUAUUUUCUUACACGCAGCUGCAGAACGCAUGUGCUAGUUGACAGUCGCCCGUAGUCUUUGUGGCGCAGCUUUUUGGCCGCGAUGCAGCCGAUGCGAGGCGACAACACAGUCGCCUUUUGUCGCCACUAGUUUUUUUUUUUUUUACAUCUGCUUGGUGUGUCACAGCCUUUAGAGGCACAAAUCCCAUAUUAUUUUUGUUCUGACACUGUAAACCCGAAUAACUUGGGAAAAUUAAAAAAAAAUUGAGGUAAUCAUUUACAUCAAAAUGUUUAAGUUAAAGGUGCACUAUGUAAUAUUUUCUGUCCGCUAGAGGCCUAUUUAAAACAAAGGCGUAGCUGGAUGACGCCAAGUUUGAGCGCGGAAUCUUGGGACAUGUGGUCUUUACCUCAACGGCCGGUGGAAAAGAAUUGAAAUACGAUUCGGGAAGAAAUCAUGUUCAUGGAUGCAAUUAUUAACGUUACUGUAGUAUGAAGCAGAGCAGGACCAAGUGUUGUGGGAGCUGAACGAGGCCACUGGAGCGGAACUUUUAUUAUGUCACAGUCGCCGGCGCUGCUUCCGCUUUUCCGGUCAAGUGUAUGAGGUAACGCAGCUCUGUUUAUCAUAUUAGAUACAUUUGAGCAGGGCUCGUCAACUGGCCCGCCAAAUUCGGCCCGCCAAUCAUCUUCAUCCGGCCCGCGGCACCUCAAUCUCCCUCCUCUUCUUUUCCUGGCGGUGCGGCUAAAUUUGGUUAGAUACGUGGCUGCAGCUGUACGGCUAUAUACGCACUGUUCGUACCAUGCAGCUCCUCCUACUGACCUGAGAAACGUAUUCCGUGCGAAUAUUUCAGCAGUUAUUAUGCGUGUCCCGUAUUUCUGUCGACUUUCUUUUCCGUGAAUUGGCCAAACGCGCUUCCAUAACGAUCUGGAACGAUUUGGAUUCGUUCGGACCGCUCUGUCACUGAAUCAUCUGUAGUUGUUUCUCGGUCAGUAACAACAAAUACAGAACAAAUAGCGCUGUUUUCUCUAGUUUACUUUGAACUACGCAGCACGGCCCAGUGGAUAACGGAACGAAAGCUUAAAGGAGCUGCGCGUUUAUUCCCGGUCACCAUUAUUAAACAGCGUUGCAACAUCAAGUGAGAUUAGCGUUUCAAAUCGACACACACCUCUCGGUUACAAACUACAAAUCACUAGUUUUAAAUCGAAUGAAACCGCCUCAACAUUCCCAACAAGGGGUGAGGAAAACAUGAGAAACUUGCCAUGAAACUUGCCAUGAAUGAAGAUAGAAGGCUUUUAAAUUCCAAAAUCACCACCCUUACAAAAAUUUACCAUGAAUGAACUGUAAUUCAUUCCAUUCAAACCAUGGUAAAUUACAUUAUAUUGAAAACUAUGUUAUAGCCAAUUAUAUUGCAAUAUUUAUUAGGUGGGUAGGGGAAUAUAUAAUUCAUGUCUGUGUUAAGGUGUAGUUUGUACCUCAACUUUUUGAUUUGAUAAUCCGGCCCUCGAAUGAAACUACUUGAAGAGCCCUGCAUUUGAGUGUGUUUAAAAUGAUGUUAUAACGUUAUCCUGCGCUUUCGCUCGGUGGCUGCUGUGAGACACUUGUUACACUCUGCAGUAAGCUAGAUCGAUUUUAGAGUAUAUUAAAUGCUGGAUGGCUUGUUUUGAUAAAUGGCAUGCAAUUCAUUUUAAAACGUAUUGUAUGAUGGAGAAAAUGCUGUAUUACUGUUACUAAAAAUAAAGCUGCAUCUGAUUAUGCUAUGUUAGCUACUUCACAAAAUAGUGUUUUUCCUCUAAGGCAUGGUAAAAGCAUGGUACUCGCAAAAAAUCAAGAAAAUAAGAUUUAAACAAUAAGACUAAACGUGUUAAGCUAUAUAACAAUAAUUCGUUUUCUGUCUAUAAAUAUAUCAAAACAGUUGUUCCCUUGCCUAUUAAAAUGUAAAUAUUAAAGCGUCUUUGGUGUUUCCAUGGUUUCUACAAAAUAAAACCGGAAACCGAGGGUAACGCGGGUAUGACGCAAUUGAGAGGCAACUCUUCACACGUCCCGGAGCCUUGGAUAAAAUUGCAAUUUUCUCACGAUUUACAAAUAGUUGCAAACAUUUGGGAUGUUGUAAGUACUCAAGUGAACAAAAUAUAUAACACUGGCCUAGUGUUUUUUGAAUAUUUUACUGCAAAAUUCUUACAUAUUGCACCUUUAAAAAAUUCAAAGUUUAAGUAAGCAGAACUGGCAGAUUAUUAUUUUGUACUCAUACAUUUUAAUUGCUCUUAACAAUUUAACUUAACUUAAAAUGAUCAUGUAAUCUCAACUUAAAUAUUUUUAGUAGCAGAAACUUAGCAAGCUUUAACUAGCUAAUUCAGUAAAUGCUAACUUGCUCAUUGGUAACAAUGUUUUGAUAGCAUUAGCAUAGCAUAGCAAUUGCUGAAUGAGUACGGCAAUAUAGAAGCAAAACAAACAGCAAAACAUUAAACACUACUAAAUCUCCCACUUAACAUUAAUCUUGCACACACACACAAAAAAAAAAAAAAAAAAAAAAAACAUCAUAUAACACUUAAUUUUAGCAUUUACUCUCCCUUCGAGUGUCAUGGCAAAGCAUGUUGGGAAAAAGAAAUCCUAGCCGAGUUUCUGUUAAAUUUAAGUUUGUCUAAAUUGAAAGAAACAUGUUCAUAAAACUUAAAACAAUGAAACAAUUCAGAUUACUUAAAAUGUGCCAGAAACAGAAAGUUAUAAAUAUGCAUAAAAGUUAAUUUUAUUAAAAUAAUUUGUUUAAUUCAAGUUCCCCCUUCUCAAACCAAUUAAUUAAUUUGAGCAUUAGGGUUUACAGUGUAUUAGAAACUGUAUGUUGUUAUCUAACAGAAAAUGCCAUUUACAAAACACUGCUUUCACACACAAACAUCAUCAUUUAUCACGAUACUUGUAUUUAUUGACAAAAACCAAAAAACAAAUUUGAUUGUUGAUAUUAUUGUGUUUGACAUGUAUGUUGUGUAUCUUCUAAGUAUCUUCUUGAACAUAUAAGUACAAUUUUUCUCAGUACUGAAUUUAUGAACACUUCAUUUUUAACCUGAUAAUCAAAUUUCACAGCUAAUUUUAUAAUCUGAAAAAGAGGAAUUGAAAUUGAGUAUUAAGCUUGUUCAAGAGUGCAAGUGAAAGACUCUGGAUUAAGACUGAAUAUGUCAAAUAUAGCAGAAUAUUAAACCUUUCAUGGAAAGAUCAAAUUCUAUAUGACAUGUCAUAUCAUAUUUGUAUGUAUACAGAGGAAAUAAGCACCUUUCAUUAAGUCAUUAAACCUUUUCCCAAAAGAAAAAAAAAAGAACAAAACCAAAAACAGAUAUUUAGUUCAGUUUCAAAAAAUCUCAUUCCAUAUUGAAUGUGUUGGGAAUCCAUUUUGAUUGUGAAACACAUAGUGAUUGUGAACUCACUUUCAGUGGACUCGUAGUAGUAGACUGUGGACUGUGUAGUAGGUUAUGUAGGGAAGGGGCAGGUCCCCUACAUACCAUCUGCUAACAAUUUCUGCAAAGAAUAGCCUCGACAUUAUAACAGUAUGAUUUUGUGUUAUGUUCAGAAAACGUGAGGGGUAUGUUUUAAAUAGUUCUAUUCAAUAAAAGUAAAUAUAUCUAAAUAUAUAUAUAUAUGUAUGUAUAUUGUAAUUUUGAAUGAUGUUGAAAAGUCUGUAUUUAAAUUGAAACAAUUAAUAGAGAUGUAGGUUAGAACAUCACAUGCGUGAACUCAUUAAUAAACACUUUGUUCUGGCAUAAAAACUCAUACAAUACUUACCGUACAGUAUUUACCUACAAACCAUAACAGUUUAAACUAUUGUAGUACUUAUUUUACUUCACAAUAUAUAGUUACUCUGUUCGCAUGCUGUAAUACAACAUUUAUGCAGCACAGGCCCAAAGCCUGGAGCCACAGUGAUUUUGAGCCCAGGGUGGCUCACCCUUAGCAGGGCAAAGCCAACACAUAAAUUGGCUUACGUUCGGGCACUUUUUAACUCACUGAAUGCCCUUCUGAUUGGCUUAGGCUGCCUUUUUUCACUGACAAAGGCAUUAUUUUACACUUCCACAUCACAUUGUAUUUUAUGGAUCAUGUAAUAUUGCUUCACUAACAAAAAUGUACCAAAAAUACAAUCCAUGCUGUGGUACCACUACAAUUUGCUCCAUGUUACCUCUAUAAUUUGUUGUAAGGGAAUGUAUUCUUAAUCUUCCUUUUUAUUUUUAUUAUUAUUUUAUUUAUUUAUUUUAAUUUUAACAUGUUUAAAUCAGUUUAAAUCACUAAAAUAAGGUUCUAUUGGGAGACUUACAUAUUGUGUAAUCAUAACUGUUAACUGUCAUUGCUAUGUAUUUAAUUAUAAUUUAAUACAAAAUGACGCUUGGUUGCUUUGUUCAUGUGCACAUAUAGAUUGUGAAUUAUACUGUUUGUUGUUGUUGUUUUUUUGUUUUUUUUUACCACCCUGUGCAUUUUUGCAAUUGUGUAGAUAUAAUGUGAGCAACACAAAAAUACUCCUAAAAGAUAAAACAAAACCAUUAAGCUCAUAAUUUGAUUUGCUGCACAGCAGUUAACAUUACGCCAGCUUGUGAAAUACAGACUGUGGCACAGUGAUUUUAUGGCUGGUGCAUUAAUGGUUGCCAUUCAUAGGUUGAAUUGCCUUCAUCGCCAGGCAACACAACUCUAAAUCCCUGAUUAUCUUCUAUUAGAAUUAGACAACAAUGUCCUGGUUACUUGGUUACAUGUAUUCAUUAUGUGCUAAUAGGUAUGUAAUACAUAAACAUAAUUCUGCACUGUCAGAAGCCUGAUAUUAUACGAAAGGUAAAAUUAUAUCACAAAUAUGUAACCAUGAUACCAUAUUGUUGAUUGUACUGCCUUGAUGUUUUCUUUAAUGCAUUUGCCUAUACAUCAAGAUCAUACAAACCUAACAUUUCUAUGGAUAUAAUCAAUAACAGCAGUCCAGCGAGGCUGGUUGGAAUGGUUUGAGGACACGUUUUUGCCCAUUUUUUCCAUCAUGCAUGCCUCUGUUUUAGUAUCUCUCUGAAGGUCUAACCCUGGCCUACUUUAAAUACAUAUGCUUGCGCUGCAUCAUAACUAUGAGCUGCAUCACUGAUUGUUUUUUUUCAAUAAAAACAAAGAAAAAAAGCA